rnacentral:rRNA from 1 species
UACGUAGGAGGCGAGCGUUGUCCGGAGUUACUGGGCGUAAAGGGUGCGUAGGCGGCCGCGCGCGUGGCGGGCGAAAUCUCUCGGCUUACCCGGGAGGGUGCUUGCCAGACGGCGUGGCUUGAGGGACGGAGAGGGGCGUGGAAUUCCGGGUGGAGCGGUGAAAUGCGUAGAGAUCCGGAGGAACACCGACGGCGUAGGCAGCGCCCUGGCCGUUUCCUGACGCUGAUGCACGAAAGCUGGGGGAGCAAACAGG